rfam:Arthrobacter sp. Soil763 contig_2, whole genome shotgun sequence.
GGUCACGAGUGCCAGCGCUAAACCCCGGUUUGCUGGCCGGCAACCCUCCUUUCGCGGCGGGGUGCCCCGGGUGACGACCUGGCCGGUCCGGAGCGGACCCGGCAAGCGCGGAUC